UUCAAAGUUUUAAAAUGUCUUUGGAACAUUUUCACCUUUGCUGUAUUGAACUUUCGGCUUUUCUCUUCUUCUUGGAUACAACGGAUAUUUGACAAGUCAUUGAUUUGAAUAAACCAAACAGUGAUAUAGAAGGAGUUCAUAUUAUAGCAUGCGUGGUGAAUGCUGUAUACAUAUAUAUAUAAGUGGAUGAUCUUUGCUGGACUCGAAUUUUCAUGAUGACUUUCUUGAUGUUGUGUGACCACACCACAUGAGAGAAAUACUUCAGAGAUGGCCAGAUGACUUCUGAGAGAAGGGACAAAUAUUUUAUAUCUGUCGGGUAAUGAUACAUCUUUACUUUUCAAGGCUGAAGUUUACUGGUUCAACAUUAUGAGUAAGAAGGCUUGUGUUUCUUGAUGCAUUCCACAGUUUAUUAUAUACUUUAAAUGCACCAAGAAUCACGAUUCUUCUGGCUCCCUUCAUCACUGAACAUAAAAAAAAACAAGGAAGGAAUUCUGAGAAAGAUAAUGAAUCCAAAAGAUAAAAGCAAUUAUA
rnacentral:lncRNA from 1 species